GUAGGUGGCAAGCGUUGUCCGGAAUUAUUGGGCGUAAAGCGCGCGCAGGUGGGUCUUUAAGUCUGAUGUGAAAGCCCCCGGGCUCAACCGGGGAGGGUCAUUGGAAACUGGGGAACUUGAGUGCAGGAGAGGAAAGUGGAAUUCCACGUGUAGCGGUGAAAUGCGUGGAUAUGUGGAGGAACACCAGUGGCGAAGGCGACUUUCUGGCCUGUAACUGACACUGAGGCGCGAAAGCGUGGGGAGCAAACAGGAUUAGAUACCCUGGUAGUCCACGCCGUAAACGAUGAGUGCUAAGUGUUGGGGGGUUUCCGCCCCUCAGUGCUGCAGCUAACGCAUUAAGCACUCCGCCUGGGGAGUACGGUCGCAAGACUG
rnacentral:rRNA from 1 species